rnacentral:ncRNA from 1 species
ACAGCCUCUGGCAUGUUGGAGCAACGUAGGUAAGGGAAGUCGGCAAGCCGGAUCCGUAACUUCGGGAUAAGGAUUGGCUCUAAGGGCUGGGUCGGUCGGGCUGGGGCGCGAAGCGGGGCUGGGCGCGCGCCGCGGCUGGACGAGGCGCCGCGCGCCCCCGCCCCCUCGCCCGCGAGGGGGCGG